rnacentral:rRNA from 1 species
GUGUCAGCAGCCGCGGUAAUACGUAGGGUGCGAGCGUUAAUCGGAAUUACUGGGCGUAAAGCGUGCGCAGGCGGUCUGUUAAGACCGAUGUGAAAUCCCCGGGCUUAACCUGGGAACUGCAUUGGUGACUGGCAGGCUUUGAGUGUGGCAGAGGGAGGUAGAAUUCCACGUGUAGCAGUGAAAUGCGUAGAGAUGUGGAGGAAUACCGAUGGCGAAGGCAGCCUCCUGGGCCAACACUGACGCUCAUGCACGAAAGCGUGGGGAGCAAACAGGAUUAGAUACCCUGGUAGUCC